CCAGCUCCAGCAAUCAUCGCCAGUCCGUUAACCCUGACGGUUACCUUAUCACGCCACGAGAGUCACCUGAGUUCACCAUCUGGAGCAGCUACAGCCUCAGCCUUCUACCGCUGACGUUUCCUGCCACUGAGAGCCACAGCCGCUGUCCUCAUCUAGACCACGGCUACGCCACCGAGCGUCCACGCUUAUCAAGAUCACCACGCCACACCAGGCUUCAAGAUCCUGCCCACGAACAUUGUCUCGCUCCCGCUCUGGAAAUUCUGGAUCUGCACUCGAGAGCCACAGCCACGAUUACCCACUACACCAUCAACAACCGCAAGAAACAUUAAGAAAAUAAAAACUUCUUCACUCACCUGC